GCCUGGCUAGCUCAGUCGGUAGAGCAUGAGACUCUUAAUCUCAGGGUCAUGGGUUCAAGCCCCAUGUCGGCG
rnacentral:tRNA from 1 species